rnacentral:lncRNA from 1 species
GGGCGGCUGAGGAGACGCUAGCGUUUCACAUCUUUUCUUUAUCUUUAUUUUACUAGCACCUUUGCCCGCGCGUUCCUACGGGUCAACAAAAUCACAAACUAUUUAUUUUUAUUUUCUGUGUAGGCAACUCAUGGAGCUGUCAAGGUCGGCAUGCGGGUGUGGUGGCGUCGGUUGUAAGACGAAGUAGAAAAAAUCGUGAAAAAAACUGCAGGAAAAAAAUAGGUGUGUCCGCGCGUUGCUACAGGUCAACAAAAUCACAAACUAUUUAUUUUUAUUUUUUGUGUAGGCAACUCAUGGCACCGUCGAGGUCGGCAUGCAGGUGUGGUGGCAUCGGUUGUAAGACGGAGUAGGAAAAAUCGUGAAAAAAACUGCAGGAAAAAAAUAACGGGCA